rnacentral:rRNA from 1 species
UACGGGGGGGGCAAGCGUUGUUCGGAAUCACUGGGCGUAAAGCGCACGUAGGCGGAUUGCUAAGUCAGGGGUGAAAUCCUGGAGCUCAACUCCAGAACUGCCUUUGAUACUGGCGACCUUGAGUCCGGGAGAGGUGAGUGGAACUGCGAGUGUAGAGGUGAAAUUCGUAGAUAUUCGCAAGAACACCAGUGGCGAAGGCGGCUCACUGGCCCGGUACUGACGCUGAGGUGCGAAAGCGUGGGGUGCAAACAGGG